AUGAGUGCCUGUCCACCCCAUUUUUUGUCGCAUUUGCCACGCCCGCGCGGUCUUGAGAACGGUCACAGGAUGACCGUUCCAGCGCAUCCGGGGCAACGCGCCAUUAAAGCAGUCAAGCCGCUUGCCUCGUCACCCGGGGCGGCGGCUUUUUUG
rnacentral:ncRNA from 1 species